rnacentral:rRNA from 1 species
AUUGAACGCUGGCGGCAUGCCUAACACAUGCAAGUCGAACGGCAGCACAGCAGUAGCAAUACUGUGGGUGGCGAGUGGCGGACGGGUGAGGAAUACGUCGGAAUCUGCCCAGGUCGUGGGGGAUAACUAGCCGAAAGGUUAGCUAAUACCGCAUACGACCGAGAGGUGAAAGCGGGGGACCGCAAGGCCUCGCGCGAUUGGAUGAGCCGACGUCGGAUUAGCUAGUUGGCGGGUAAAGGCCCACCAAGGCGACGAUCCGUAGCUGGUCUGAGAGGAUGAUCAGCCACACUGGAACUGAGACACGGUCCAGACUCCUACGGGAGGCAGCAGUGGGGAAUAUUGGACAAUGGGCGCAAGCCUGAUCCAGCAAUGCCGCGUGUGUGAAGAAGGCCUUCGGGUUGUAAAGCACUUUUAUCAGGAACGAAAAGCGUUGGAUUAAUACUCUGACGUGCUGACGGUACCUGAGGAAUAAGCACCGGCUAACUUCGUG